AUGCCAUCCAUGCAACAGGCGGAGGCGGGGGCGGAGCAAAGGAGCAACGGGCCUCGGAUCAAGAUGAAGCCCGCGGCUAGGCGGGUGCUCGCCGGUGGUGUGCGUUCGAUGUCGCUGGGGAGCCCCAGGUCUCCGCCGCCCUCCUACGCGAGCAUCGUCACCGUGCUCAGCAUCGACGGGGGCGACGUGCGCGGGAUCAUCCCCAGCACCAUCCUUGCCUUGUUCGACCGUCGUCGCCAACGGCAAUGCUACGAGACGAGUUUCUGCAACAACAAUGUUGCUGCAAAUGGCGGCAGUGAACGGCCUAUGCUUGCAAGGGGUUCUUUUUCUCUGCGAGAUGCUUCUUGUUGCAAAGGGAGCGAGCGCUAUCUCACUCGCGCGCCAAGCAUCCUGUGGACCUUCGCCCCUGGAGUUGUUUCUAAAACAUAG
rnacentral:rRNA from 1 species